rnacentral:rRNA from 1 species
AGAUUGAACGCUGGCGGCAGGCCUAACACAUGCAAGUCGAGCGGCAGCACGGGUACUUGUACCUGGUGGCGAGCGGCGGACGGGUGAGUAAUGCCUAGGAAUCUGCCUGGUAGUGGGGGAUAACGCUCGGAAACGGACGCUAAUACCGCAUACGUCCUACGGGAGAAAGCAGGGGACCUUCGGGCCUUGCGCUAUCAGAUGAGCCUAGGUCGGAUUAGCUAGUUGGUGGGGUAAUGGCUCACCAAGGCGACGAUCCGUAACUGGUCUGAGAGGAUGAUCAGUCACACUGGAACUGAGACACGGUCCAGACUCCUACGGGAGCAGCA